rnacentral:rRNA from 1 species
AACGAACGCUGGCGGCAGGCUUAACACAUGCAAGUCGAGCGCCCCGCAAGGGGAGCGGCAGACGGGUGAGUAACGCGUGGGAACGUGCCUUUUGGUUCGGAACAACUCCGGGAAACUGGAGCUAAUACCGGAUAAGCCCUUCGGGGGAAAGAUUUAUCGCCAAAAGAUCGGCCCGCGUCUGAUUAGCUAGUUGGUGAGGUAAUGGCUCACCAAGGCGACGAUCAGUAGCUGGUCUGAGAGGAUGAUCAGCCACACUGGGACUGAGACACGGCCCAGACUCCUACGGGAGGCAGCAGUGGGGAAUAUUGGACAAUGGGCGCAAGCCUGAUCCAGCCAUGCCGCGUGAGUGAUGAAGGCCUUAGGGUUGUAAAGCUCUUUUGUCCGGGAAGAUAAUGACUGUACCGGAAGAAUAAGCCCCGGCUAACUUCGUGCCAGCAGCCGCGGUAAU